GAGUACCUAUAUUAUACAUAAUAAUGAUAAAAUAAUCACCCUGUAUUACCGAUGUAUAUCAAGAAAUAAUAAUAAUUAACGGUAUUAACCGCACGAUAUCAUCGUGACGUUUGCAUUAAAUAUUUUGCAAUCCGGAUUUCAUGAUGGAAAUGCGAUUUUGAAUCGAACAAAAAAAGUAAUAUUGAUAUUAUGUGUUUAGCGUGAUGCUGAAUUUGAAGAAAAAAAAUAAUCAAAACAAAAC